rnacentral:rRNA from 1 species
GACGAACGCUGGCGGCGGGCUUAACACAUGCAAGUCGAACGGAAAGGCCCUGCUUUUUUGCGGUGCUCGAGUGGCGAACGGGUGAGUAACACGUGUGUAACCUGCUCUUGACUUUCGGAUAACUUCAGGUAACUAGGGUUAAUAUCGGAUAGGAUCUCCUGCUGCAUGGAGGGGGUUGGAAAUUUUCGGCUGUUGGGGCUGGUUUGGCGGCUUAUCAGCUUGUUGGUUGGGUAGUGGCUUACCAAGGCUUUGCCCGAUAGCCGGCCCGAGAGGGUGAACGGCCACAAGGGGACUGAGGAACGGCCCAGAGUCGAACAGGGGGCAGUAGUGGGGAAUAUUGCACAAUGGGCGGAAGCCUGUUGAGGCAACGCCGCGUGCGGGAUGACGGCUUUCGGGUUGUAAACCGCUUUCGCCUGUGACGAAGCGUGAGUGACGGUAAUGGGUGAAGAAGCACCGGCUAACUACGUG